GCUUGCUUCAGCAACACAUAUACAAAAAUUGGAACGAUACAGAGAAGAUUAGCAUGGCCCCUGCACAAGGAUGACAUACAAAUUCAUGAAGCUUUCCGUUUUUUG
rnacentral:snRNA from 1 species